rnacentral:rRNA from 1 species
UACGUAGGGGGCAAGCGUUGUCCGGAAUCAUUGGGCGUAAAGCGCGCGUAGGCGGCUCGGUAAGUCCGCUGUGAAAGCCCAGGGCUCAACCCCGGAAAGCCGGUGGAUACUGCCGGGCUAGAGUCCGGAAGAGGCGAGUGGAAUUCCUGGUGUAGCGGUGGAAUGCGCAGAUAUCAGGAGGAACACCAGUGGCGAAGGCGGCUCGCUGGGACGGUACUGACGCUGAGGUGCGAAAGCGUGGGGAGCAAACAGG